GCGGGGAGGCGCAGGAUGGACGCGUUGGCUGUCAUGAUGUAGGACCUCCUGACCUAGAACCAUGCCCGGCGCAGGGAGAACAACGAGCUUACGGACCGGGUGCGGGGGCUGCUGUGCGAGAAAGCCUACCUGCUGGCCCGGGAGCGUUCGCCGGCCCACCUGGUGGCUUUCCCUGGACGUUUAACGGCGACUCCGCCCGGCCUCCCGACUUUUUGAUGCAGGCGUUCUCUUACAUGACUUUCUUCGAGGCUAGAUUCUCGAAAGACAUCCUGAAGGUGGCUUUCUUAAUUAGCUGCCUCACCGGCUGGCGGAGCAGUUCGUAGUCGCCUACAUCGAGAGGGAGAGCCCCGUCCUGGCUCAGUACUGGGGCUUCGUGGACGCGCUGUAGCGGGUCUUCGCCGUCGUGGGUAGGAAACAGUCGGGCCGGAUCCCCGGUGUCUGGGGAGCGGCUGCCGGCCGGGCCCGCGCGAGCCGCUUCACUCCUACAAGCCCGGCUCACUAGUUCCAAGCUGCUGGACUUUGACCCUCGCUGGGAAGCUUGAUCGCCGCCUGUUCUCGCCAAUCUCUAUGCCUUUGCACUGCCCAGCAACCCGGUCACUGCCCAGGACCUGUUAAAAGUUGAAUGGACCUCCCAGAAUCACGCCGCUGCCACCGCCGUUUCUAGAGACGGCUUUUGGCCACCUUUGAGAAUCAGGGUCAAACUUGGAAGGGCCUGCAUUUGUCACACUUCCUCGGACACUAAUUUGGAUAGUUCAGGCCCAGAGACGGCUUCCCGGGUUAGUGUGCCUGACAACACUGAAGAAAAAUUGUGACAUUUUCCUUCCCCAGAAUUACUUCGUUUUAUACAUUUCACUUCUCUUCUGAAAUCACAGCAAUGCCAGUUUGCGCCUUUUGGUCUGAGGAACGCAGGCCCUGGCCACUACCAGGAAAAAAACCUUCUGGAUUUCAGCUUUGGCAAGCUUCCUCUGUUUCUGAGACACCUCCAUCACCUGGGUUACAAUCCCAUCCAUGAUUUUCCCCAUCUCCAGGCAUUUUUCAUGGAAAGCUCCUCAUGCUUUUUAAUUCCAGUUUAUCCAUUUGUGUGGCUUUAACCUCCACAUCCAGGUCUUUCUGGCUAAACUGCAGUAUAUCCACAAUGGGGCCAAUGGACACAUAAGGGAGGCCCUAUCACAGGAACACGAACACCCGGAGUCGCUAGAAAUCAGAUUCCACCGGCUUUGCUUCAGGCCGACUUCCUAAGGAAGGCAUGGUAGCAUCACAGAUGCUGUUUGUCUCAGUUUCCUGAGAAGCCAGUUUCUUAGAGCUGUCAUUCAAGAGUGGGUCAAAUUUGAGAUAUAAAAACCUUUCUCAAGGUAGACUCUUUGGCCCCUAUGCCUAGUAUGUCAGCUGGGCCUCUGAAGCUCUCCUCUUUGAGGUCCUGGCAGGCUCUGGCCCCUGUUGAGAAGGGGAAGCAGUCAUGUGAACUCAUGUGCUGGAAGAAUCCACUCUACCCCUUCCCUGGCUUCUCUGCUGCAAUUUUUGUCUUUAAACGUAUUUUCAGGUGAUUCCAGUUUGCAUACAUAAUUGAGAAAUAUAAGAUUUGGUCCCCAGUAGAGAGCCAGGUGAACUUAAGAAGGAGUCCAUCUAAGAAAAUUGCACAAUUAUCUAGUUUCACUUGGGUUUAGCUUUUAUGGCUUACUUGAUUUAGUAAUCAAAUGAUUUUCAAAUGAUUUUGAUCAGGUGACUCUUCGUAAACUAGAGAAUGAACUUGAGAGCCGAAUUAGCACAGUUUAAAAAUAAUCAUUUAGUUUUUGUUCUCUAUUGUGUAAAUUAUUGAGGUUUGACUGUCUUGGCUAAACUAAGGCUCAUCUAAUAUCUUUAUUUUUGAUAUCCUAAUUUCUUGCCAAUUAAUUGAAGGUAACAUACUAGCAGACCAGAUAACUACUUAUGCAAACCUCAGAUAACCACUAAUUUAAACAAAAUUAAAUCCUUUGCCUUCCCCAGAUCCUUUGCACAUGGCCUGCUAUCAACAAUCCUCUACAAUGAUUCUCAGCAUCACCUAGGGAGCUUAUGUAAAAUCUCAAAUUCCUGGGCCCUAUCCCCAGAGUUUCUUAUCAAGUAAGUCUGCAUUGGGAUCUGAGGAUUUGCAUCUCUAACAAAAAUUCCUAGGCGAUGCUCACACUGUUGGUGUAAGGGUGAGUACAAAUUAGAAAUAAAACUAUUUAAUUCUGCCUGGUGCAAAGGAGAGAGAGAGACUUUUACCCUCCACAUCCUUUUCUUUGGUCAUUUACUUUAGGAAACUUAAUUGUAAGCUUUUUCUGUGCCUCUUUGAAAUGCCUGUAAAUCUUUCCAAAAACUAAAUUAGGCUUUUGCCAAUUUUACAA
ensembl:lncRNA LINC00667 long intergenic non-protein coding RNA 667